GGGAGCAAUGACGUUAAUUCUCCAUAAAGAAUUGUCAUCAAGAAUUCCUAUGAAAUUAAUCAUCCAUUUGUGUGGUUAGGGUUUAAGAUUGAUUGCUACAGUCUGAAGUUUGGCUUCUGGCCAAACAAUGUGAUUUCUUUCCCAGUACGGAGCAGACUCUGGAGGACGGUUUUCCCUUGGGCUUGUUCUGUGGAAGAAGUGUUUCCCUCUGCUCUAUCUCAAUCUCACCCAGAAAAGAGUACUCCAAUUUUAGAAGGCGAACUAAGCUUCUGGUGACAAUCCGCCGGCUAGCUUAAGCCCACAAGACCUCCGGCAGGUCCUGCCUUCCCCUCUCCUCCAUAUGUCCUAACCGUGCCCACUUUCUGAGCUAUGGAGCUAAGGCAGAAUGGCGCCAGCACAGCUGCCUUGUCUCUCUGUGUGGGCAAGCAGCACAUGUGAGCUGGUUUCCGUGGCGAUUAAUUCUUCUUGCCGGCGAGGAAUGCCGGGAGGCUUUUCUUAAUUUAGCAAUGAAUGGAGGAGGGGAAUUAUGAAAGAAUUCCCUUCCACAACGGAUGAAUGCAUACCGGGGAGGGGCAGCGCGCAGUAUCGCGGCACUGUGCUAGAGAGCAAUGAAAGCCAGGACACAGAGACACCAAAAGAGGUAUUCUUUGAUCUAGUAAAACUGACCUCUUGGAAGUUUCACUAACAAGACUGCAUCUCUGGGCUGUAUCUCUCUGCUUGGACAUUGUCUCUGGAUGUUCCUCAUACCUAGAAGGCUCUUCUUUAUUUGCUCUGACCACUGACCUCUCUGGCUUCUUUUAAGUCCCAACUAAAAUCCCAUCUUUCACUGUAAUCUUUUCCCAGCCCCUCUUCAUUCUAGUUCCUUCCCUCUGUUAAGUGUCUCCUAUUUAUCCUGUAUAAAGCUUGCUUCAUAUAUUUGUUUGUAUAUUCUCUCCCCUAUUAGAUUGUAAAACUUGGAAUGAAGGGACUAUUUUUUGCCUCUUUUUGUAAUCCCAGGAUUUAGCAGAGUGCCAGACACACAGAGGGGUUUAAGAAAUGUGUCCUGAUUGACUGAUUGUUUCCCUAUAAUGUCUACUUCUCAGUUUGACCUGGGUAGCCAAUUGUUGUGACUUUCAGUUUUUUUGAUUUCCAUUUUGAUAGGAAUUUAGUGGUAGCUUAGAUACUGCUCUUUGAAAAAAAAAUUAUGUUACAGUUUAAUUAUUUUUGGUCUUGUUCUAUAUUUAGGUACCAUAAGGAUUUAAUGCCUAUAUGGUGCAUGUCCAAAAAUGUAUGCUUCAUUCCACAUCCUGAAUCCAUUCAUGAUCUCUCUAUUAAGAGGUGAGUAUACUAGUAUAUCAUGAGUUCUCUGGAUCAUGUACCAGUCCUUACCACAUUUAUUUCUUUUGCUUUCUAGAAGAAUGAAAAUA
rnacentral:lncRNA from 1 species